AUUUAAAUAAUCAAUUUUCAAAUUUCACUUUUUUUCUUCCAUGCUCAAAUCACAGUAGAUAAAAAAUCACAAGAAAAAUUUAAAAAUUCCAUAAACACAAUAUUGAUCUUAACAACAACAAAAUUUCAUUAACAAAAAUUGAAAAGCAAAAUUUACAUUUUAACUAUAAAUCACAAUAUGACGAAAUCGUAGCAAAUGAAUUGGAAAAUAGAGGAGACGUUCCAGUGCCAGUUGUUGACGAUCGAUUGUGAGCAUCCAUGCCCCUGAGCCCAAUCUUUCAAUGUUUGGCAGCCACUCAUCUGAACACAACCCAUCGAUCAAGAUGAGGCAGCAGGACGACAGACGGGUAGGUCCUUCUCAAAAAAUGGUGCAGCUCUUAGAAUAGGAUUGCUCUCGAAGAAAUUGACAGGCUUUAAAUCAAAGCUCGAUGACACAAUUGGCAUUACAGGGAAAUCCUCCUGGCACGGAAUGUGAUGGAAUCCCAUGGUGUACCAUAACACAAUGUCUUUAUUCUCAAUAUUUCGAUUCCUCUGAGACCACACAGCAAUUGUGUCAUCUCCCUUGCUUUGAUACACUAGAAGUCCACCAGCCCAUUGUUCGGUUCGGUUAUAGGGGGUCACCCAUAUCUGAUUGUUUGUGAAAGCACUUCUUUUUUGUGGAGGAUCAAGGUGAUCAAGCAAGCUAGCUGCAGUCGCACCGGGAACAAUCUUAUACCCUGCAGGAUUUCCCAACCUAGACCGCCUUGAAGGGUUGAUUACAUGAAACUCUGAAGGGUCAUAGAGCUUAAGCUUAAUUCUUGCAUCUUCCUCUGUUUUAGCUGUCUCUCUCUUUGCUUUUAAGUAGCUUUUUCUGGGUGAUUCACCUGGCAAAGUCUCUUCCUUAACUAAAUGAACCUUAACAAGUGUGUUAUUAGUGUCAUCAAUAUCCAUGUCCAGGUGGUAAGUGAUGAAAUGAUCGUGAACAACACCGAUAACGUUUUCAGAGACUAAAGGGCUCGACAUUUCUUCUUGGUUGGGUAUUUGAUACACAUUUUGAUAAGUUGUCCCUUUCACCAUUAGCAUCCCUGAAAGAGACACCUUAAUGCGAAUCAAACCAUCAGUUUGAAAUUCCCAAUCAAAAAUGUAAUCAUAGUUUCCUACUGAUGCUGCCAUUCGAGCCACUAGUGUCACUUUAGCUCUUGCUUCUUUAAUCUCAAAACCAUUAACAGGGAUCUCCGAAUGACGCCAACCGAUAUCUCCAGCAUAACGUUCGAACACACAAAUCAUAUUGGGUUGAACAUAUGGCUUCCCAUCAGAAGACACAAAAAUUCCAUCCACAUAGUGUGCGUACCUCGGGCAAUCAUUUAGUGGCAUAAGUGACAUCGCUGUUGCCCCCAGACCAAACUCACCGGCAUCCAUGUAUGAUUUAAAAUACCAGUUCUCAUCUGGGUCCAUGUAAGGCACAAACAACUCGGAAGAGAACCCUUUGUACAUCACACUCCUUAGCACCCCAGUCUCCGAGUCCCUAACCAUAGCUCGGGAAAUGAUCAUGCCAGCUCGUUGGUCAGCCUUCAGGUGGAAAAUCCAAUUUGCCCAUUUAACCAUGUGUCGAUUUUCUAUACUAAAGCUUGGACCUUUCGGUUGUUCUAUUGAUAUUGGGUUUAUUGGCUCCAUUUCUAGUGGCUUGUCUUGUGCUGUGUAUCUGUAAUCUGUGUUAGUGGCUUUUGGAACUGGAAUUCCUCUCCCCUUGUCAAGAAAUUCCACCACCUCUUUCUUGUCGAGGUCCACGGUUAUUGUUAGCCCUUCAAGUGGCCUCAUAUAGAAAUUGACUGUGCCCUGGCUAGAGAAGCACUGGACCUUAGUAACCCUUCUCCCUUCCUCAUCAGGCCCAAACCAACCCGGUGACGGUGUGAUGCAAGUCAAUUCCGAUAAGGGAACCCCUCUUGCGAUGGCAGAUUGGUUCAACUCUUGGUGAGAUAGUGCCACCUGGAUUGCGGCAGAAAGGUCAUCCAUAGACACCAUAGGGUACCCCGACCAAGGAUUGAUUUCAUGGCUUGUGACUUGGCCCAACUCCAAAUCAACUGUAAGCACAUGAGAUUGCCCAUUCAAUAGCACAAUUACAAGUGCUUUCCUAGGAGGAAGAGGGUCGCCUUGUUUCCACCACAAGACCCGGUGCUUGUCAGGUUCACCAAGUGAUAAAUAGUGAAUAGGUGGGAAGCAAGACAAAAAGGGCUCAUAGGAUGAGAGGAUGGUUCUGACCUUGUUGAUUUCUUGUAUGGUAAGUGGGUCUAGUGGGUGGUGAGGGGUUUCCCCUGUGUGGUCGUUGGGCUUGUGGAUCUGGGUCUCCAAAACCAAGUCCAAGUUGGAGUGAAUUCGAUUCUUGGAGGUGCACCAUAGCUGGAAAUCUAGUUUGUUUGGAAGGUACCAGAAAUAUGCAAAAAUGAAUAGAACUACGAACAAGAUGAAGGUGAAAUGAGCAUAUGAAGCAGUUUCCAUUCUUUUACAAAAAGAGAGAAGAACGAGACAGCAAAG
rnacentral:misc_RNA from 1 species